rnacentral:rRNA from 1 species
UACGGAGGGGGCUAGCGUUGUUCGGAAUUACUGGGCGUAAAGCGCACGUAGGCGGCUUUGUAAGUUAGAGGUGAAAGCCCAGGGCUUAACCCUGGAAUUGCCUUUAAGACUGCAUCGCUAGAAUCGUGGAGAGGUAAGUGGAAUUCCGAGUGUAGAGGUGAAAUUCGUAGAUAUUCGGAAGGAACACCAGUGGCGAAGGCGACUUACUGGACACGUAUUGACGCUGAGGUGCGAAAGCGUGGGGAGCAAACAGG